rnacentral:rRNA from 1 species
AACUAUGCCUGAGUAGGAUGAAGCCGGAGGAAACUCUGGUGGAGGUCCGAAGCGCUUUUGACGUGCAAAUCAAUCGUCAGACUUGGGUAUAGGGGCGAAAGACUAAUCGAACCAUCUAGUAGCUGGUUCCCUUCGAAGUUUCCCCCAGGAAAGCUGGUGCCAUGUUUGACAGUUUUAUCUGGUAAAGCGAAUGAUUAGAGGCAUUGGGGACGAAUUGUCCUCGACCUAUUCUCAAACUUUAAAUGGGUAAUGUACCGUUGUACUUCUUGAUAUUCAUGAGUGCUCGGUCAAAUGCAAUGGCGCCAAGUGGGCCAUUUUUGGUAAGCAGAACUGGCGAUGUGGGAUGAACCAAACGUUGAGCUAGGAUGCCCAAAGUGCUUCUCAUGAGAUACCAUGAAAGGUGUCAGUCGAUAUUGACAGCAGGACGGUGGCCGCAGAAGUAGGAAUCCGCUAAGGAGUGUGUAACAACUCACCUGCCGAAUCGACUGGUCCUGAAAAUGGAUGGCGCUGGAGACGUAUAUCCAUGCUCGACCGUCAAUGCCAACGAAAGCGAUUGCUAUAUGGCUUGACGUGUAGAAGGGCGAUUGCCGUGGCGUCGAAACUUGCACCGUGAGGUGGGGUAGAGCUGCGGCAUGUGCAGAUCUUGGUGGUAGUAGCAAGUAUUCAAAUGAGAGCAUUGAAGACUGAAGUGGAGUAAGGUUCCAUGUGAACAGCAUUUGGACAUGGAUCAGCCGAUCCUAAGAGAACGUGUAAGUUCGUGAUUAAGCGCGUCGCCUUGUGCGUCGCAAUCGAAAGGGAAUCGGGUUAAUAUUCCCGAGCCAGGAUACGGAAUGAGCCUGAUUAAUCGAAAGUACCUUGUGUGCUUUUGACUUCAGGCAAAAGCGGCAACGCCAACAAACCCAGAGAUUAACUAUGCGAAGUCCGGGGAAGAGUUUUCUCUUCUUUGUAAGGGAUGUUAUCCCUGGAAACAGAUUGUCUGGCGAUAGGGUACGCAUCCCGUAAUGCAACGCGAUUCCUGCGAUGUACCGUGCGCUUCGUAUAGUGCUUGAAAAUCUGGGAGCGAGUUUGUUCAGGCCGUACCUGUUCGUACUGAUUUCCGCAGCAGGUCUCCAAGGUGAGCAGCCUCUAGUCGAUGGGACAAAGUAGACAAGGGAAGUCGGCAAAUUAGAUCCGUAACUUCGGAAAAAGGAUUGGCUCUAAAGGCUGAGUUGGUCGGGCGGUUGCGUAAAGCUGGGAGCGAUGCUUUGACUCUGUCUCAGACUCCAUACUCGCAAGGGAUAUGUAAUCGGCGGCGGAGCUUAGUAUUUGCUCACUGUGGACCGCGGUCGCUAUGCCACCCAUGCGGUGUCAAAAUUCAUUUUCGAGCCGUGCGGUGUGGAUCCGAUCAGCGUUUAACAGCUGACCUAGAACUGGUAUGGACAAGGGGAAUCCAACUGUUUAAUUAAAACAAAGCAUUGCGAUAGCUGUAAUCGGUGUUGACGCGAUGUGAUUUCUGCCCAGUGCUCUGAAUGUUAAAGUGAAGGAACUCAUUAAAGCGCGAGUUAACGGCGGAAGUAACUAUGACUUUCUUAAGGUAGCCAAAUGCCUCGUCAUCUAAUUAGUGACGUGCAUGAAUGGAUUAUUGAGAUUCCUUCUGUCCCUGUCUGCAACCUAGCGAAACCACAGCCAAGGGAACGGGCUUGGAGAGUAACAGCGGGGAAAGAAGACCCUGUUGAGCUUGACUCUAGUCAGUCUUUGUGAAGAAACAUGAUGGGUGUAGAAUAGGUGGGAGGACGCGACAGUGAAAUACCACUACUAUCAUCGUUUCUUUACUUACUCAAUUGAUCAGGGAGCGUGAAUUCGCUAUUUGCGAUGUAUGAUUAUUCCUUCAGUGGAAUAAGUGUCUGGUUUGAGAACACAGACUGAUUGGGAGUUUGACUGGGGCGGUACAUCUGUUAAAAUCUAACGCAGGUGUCCUAAGGCAAUCUCAGCGUGGACAGAAACCUCGCAUAGAGCGAAAGGGCAAAAGAUUGCUUGAUCUUGAUUUUCAGUACGAAUAAAGACAAUGAAAGUUUGGCUUGUCGAUCCUUUUGAAUUUUACGAGUUUUAAGCAAGAGGUGUCAGAAAAGUUACCACAGGGAUAACUGGCU